rnacentral:rRNA from 1 species
AUGGAGGCCACGACGAAGAACCAAGAAACGGCCGCCGGCGACAAGCCCGCGCCGCCGGUGCUGCCGUGGUCGGUGAGGCUCCAGCUGUUCGCGCUCGUCACCGCCAACGACAUCGCGCAGCGCCGCGACGGGACCGUCAACCGCUUCCUCUUCUCCUUCGGCGACCGGCAGUCGCCCGCGAGGCCGCGCCCGGACGCGCACGGCGUCCGCUCCGCCGACGUCACCGUCGACGCCUCCCGGAACCUCUGGGCGCGCGUCUACUCCCCCGCAGCGGAGGCGACCCCACUCCCCGUCCUCGUCUACUUCCACGGCGGCGGCUUCACGCUGCUCUCCGCGGCCUCCACGCCCAUCGACGGCAUGUGCCGCCGCUUCUGCCGCGAGCUGGGCGCCGUGGUCGUCUCCGUCAACUACCGCCUCGCGCCCGAGCACCGCCACCCGGCCGCCUACGACGACUGCGUGGACGUGCUCCGCUACCUCGGCGCCGCCGGCCUCCCCGCGGACGUCUCCGUCCCGGUCGACCUCUCCCGCUGCUUCCUCGGCGGGGACAGCGCGGGGGGCAACAUCGUCCACCACGUCGCCCAGCGGUGGACGGACGCGGCUCCCUCCGACAGCCCCGUCCGCCUCGCCGGCAUCGUCCUCCUGCAGCCGUACUUCGGCGGCGAGGAGCGCACGGAGGCGGAGCUGAGGCUGGAGGGCGUGGCGCCGGUGGUGAACAUGCGGCGCUCCGACUGGGCGUGGAGGGCGUUCCUGCCGGAGGGGGCGGACCGGAACCACCCGGCGGCGCACGUGACGGGCGAGGCGGGCCCGGAGCCCGAGCUGGCGGAGGCGUUCCCGCCGGCGAUGGUGGCCGUCGGCGGGCUGGACCCGCUGCAGGACUGGCAGCGGCGGUACGGCGCCAUGCUGCGGCGGAAGGGGAAGGCGGUCAAGGUACUCGAGUUCCCGGACGCCAUCCACGCCUUCUACUGUUUCCCCGAGCUCCCCGACUCCGGCAGGCUCGUGGAGGAGAUCAGGGCGUUCAUCGGGACCAACGCGCCCACUCAUCACCCCGAUGCUUGA